rnacentral:rRNA from 1 species
GAAUUAGGGUUUUUAUUAUUAUUUUUUUAUUGGGUUUGUGUGCCUUUUGCCUCAUGCUAGACCGAUAGCUGGUAAAUACCACUAACCGAAAUUCUCAGAUCUCUAUUUGUGUUGUUUGGCACUAUUUGGCGAGUAGCUGUUAAAUAAAUACUAUUAGCGCGGUGAUAAGUUAAUCGUUGAGGAAUAUAUCUGUGUUACGGGUCAUGUGGUCGAUGCAAUGUUUGAGUUAUGAGAUUCUAACAUCUUCUACAUCAUGUUUGUUAUGUAGUGGCGGUUGGGGCUAAGAAUACCCAUACCUUGCUGAUUAUGUUAUUAUUCUUAGGUUUUUUGUGUGGAUUAGUUUGACCCCUGUAUAAGCAAAUAAAAUAAAUUUUAUUUAUGGUUUAAUUAGUAAUUAUAUUAUUUAUAAUUUAUCUCGGAGUCGGCCCAACUGUUUAUUAAAAACAUUUCUGCCGCGGACUAUGGGCAGUAUGACCUGCCCGGUGUGUUUAUUAACGGCCGCAGUAUUAUGACUGUGCGAAGGUAGCAUAAUUAAUUGCCCCGUAAUUGGGGGCUUGUUUGAAUGGUUUAAUGUGGUUGUUCUUAAGAUUAUAAUUUUUUGUGAAGUUAAUUUUGUGUGUACAGAAUCAACGUGAUUUAGUUAGACGGAAAGACCCCGGGAUCUUUGGUUUUGUCUGGGGCAGAUUGGGCUAUUUUAACUCAUUUUGGACCCGCUGAUUAGAGGUUUAAGUUACCCCGGGGAUAACAGAGUAAUGACUCACGAGAGACCGUAUCGAGUGAGUUGCUUGCUACCUCGAUGUUGACUUGGGUUAACCCAGCAACGCAGUAGUUGCUGGGGUGGGUCUGUUCGACCCCUUGAUCCCUCAUGAGUUGAGUUAAGACCGGCGUGAGCCAGGUCGGUUCUUAUCUAUUGGUGUCGGUUGGUAGUACGAAAGGACCCCAACCCAUUUUAUU